UGAUAGCUCAGUUGGUAGAUCAUGAGACUCAGUCUCAGGGUCGUGGGUUCGACUCUCAGGCUAGGAGAA